AUUGAACGCUGGCGGCAGGCCUAACACAUGCAAGUCGAACGAGUGGCGGACGGGUGAGUAAUGUCUGGGCAACUGCCUGAUGGAGGGGGAUAACUACUGGAAACGGUAGCUAAUACCGCAUACCAUCGGAUGUGCCCAGAUGGGAUUAGCUAGUUGGUGGGGUAAAGGCUCACCUAGGCGACGAUCCCUAGCUGGUCUGAGAGGAUGACCAGCCACACUGGGACUGAGACAGGGCCCUGCCGCCUACGGGAGGCAGCAGUGGCGAAUUUUGGACAAUGGGGGAAACCCUGAUCCAGCGAUCCCGCGUGUCUGAUGAAGGCCUUCGGGUUGUAAAGUACUUUUGGCGGAGAAGCGGUAUCUGCAGAAUAAGCACCGGCUAACUACGUGCCAGCAGCCGCGGUAAUAC
rnacentral:rRNA from 1 species